CAGUUAUGUUAGCUUGAAGUAAGUGAUGCUAUUUCUAUGAAAGUUUUAGAGUACUCCAAUCCUUAGGAAAUCCUAGAACAUUAGAAUCAAUAAUUUGAACUGAGAGAAGUAAAGAAGGCUAUAAGGUCUUAUACUCAAUUUAUAAUAUUAUAAACUUUUCUCAAGCAUGGUUUAUAAAUUAUAACAAAUUUGUAACAUCACAAAUAAUAAUGUUUGAAAAGUAUGAGUUAACUAAAAUAGGUACUAUUCUAAAAAAUCAGGUUGCCCAUAAGGCUCUUCAUGAAAAUUCAGUUUUAUGCUGGCACUUAAAUUAUCUUUUCUCUGCCUGAUGUAAUUGUCUCUGAGCCUUAUUGCCUGUUUGCUAAAUGAAGGCCUAGUCCUGGAAGCUUCUAGCCUCUGCACAAUCUGAUUUAGGCCUAGAACGUUUUCAGCCUCUGAGACUUAACUGCUGAAUAAGCUCACACUUUUCUUGUUCUUACUGAAUUUUUGUCUGGUUUAACAAAGCUGUUGUGGUUCAUACUCUUAACAAGAUGGCUGAUUUAGUCUGACUUCUGCCUCAAACUACCUUGCAAUUUGUUCUGAUCUUUUGGGCUCCUCUCUCUUGGCACAUUCUGUAUUUACCUGUGUCUAGCUUGUUCUUUCUGCACCUGUCUUUAAAUCUGUCAUUUUGUCUGCCACUCAAUUAGACUUCUUUUGAACAUGGGUUGUUUCUAGUUAUGUAUGUGCUAAGGGCGUGUCAGUAUUCCAGCCAGCGUAACCAUGUUGCUGGAUUAAAAUCCCUGUACAGUAAAAGUGAGUUUGAGAGCUCUGGACUGUAAGAAUGUAUAACCUUAAGCCUAAGCUAGGCAAAUCUCCUGAGAUUACUUUGUGAUUUCUUUAAGUUCCUAUUCAUAGAUGUCCAUAAAAGGUAGCUGGAGAGAGAGCUUCAUGGUUGUUGGAUGCUUUUGAGGUCUAUCCCGAUGGGGCUUCCUUAGUAGCCACACAUCGUUGGAAACGCCUCAUAUAGUAACUUGUGGUUUUGCUUGACUCGCAGGACUGUGUGUUAGGUCUGUGGGAAGGAACUACAAGACAGCUAACAAAGUACAAAACUGAUGUGCAAUUUUGGUUUUGUUUCUAGAAGCACUGGCAUUUCCUUCAUAAAGAUUAGGAUUCUGAGUGUUAGGUGAGUUUUAGUGACUCUGCAAUUUUGGGGAAGUAUAGCUACAGUUCAGAUGAUGAAUUAAACUGUUCAACUGCUGUAUGAUACAGACAUGAACUAAAAUUUAAUUCUGACAGAACUGGUUACAGCUGUUAGGUUGGAGUAAACUUUAACUGUAGUUUCUAAUAAAGUCAUAUGUACUGUUCUCCAGGAAUGGAUAUGAAAGACUCUACAGAGAUGUUGGGUGUCACAAGGGAAACCUACCUUAAAAUGGUUUUUAAAGCUAGUUGCAGAAGGGUCCCUAAAGUAAAUUGAAGAAAUCCACAAAUCUUCUGGUAAGAUGUGGACUUUGAAACCUUGUGAGAUGAUAAUACUGAAAUUCACUGCUAAGAUUUGAAAAAACAGUACCUACCAUAAAUGAUGUUGUGAUGAUGGGCAAAAUGUUCAACUGCUCUGAAUGGGCUGAAUGAAAGUAGCCUUUCUGAACAUCUAUGUUGGGUAGAUUCUGUGUAUGCAGACCUGCUGACUCCCCUAAACUGUGGGAAUAUUCUUUGAAUCUGGCAUCAUGUAGAAUUAAAAAUUUUAAUUCUUUGAAACACAUUUUCUC